rnacentral:rRNA from 1 species
AGCGAACGCUGGCGGCAGGCUUAACACAUGCAAGUCGAGCGGGCGUAGCAAUACGUCAGCGGCAGACGGGUGAGUAACGCGUGGGAACAUACCUUUUGGUUCGGAACAACACAGGGAAACUUGUGCUAAUACCGAAUAAGCCCUUACGGGGAAAGAUUUAUCGCCGAAAGAUUGGCCCGCGUCUGAUUAGCUAGUUGGUAGGGUAAUGGCCUACCAAGGCGACGAUCAGUAGCUGGUCUGAGAGGAUGAUCAGCCACAUUGGGACUGAGACACGGCCCAAACUCCUACGGGAGGCAGCAGUGGGGAAUAUUGGACAAUGGGGGCAACCCUGAUCCAGCCAUGCCGCGUGAGUGAUGAAGGCCCUAGGGUUGUAAAGCUCUUUUGUGCGGGAAGAUAAUGACGGACCGCAA